GUCCCUGUGGUGCAGUGGUAGUGCGCUUCGCUCUUGUGGAUGGGGCAACUUAUGCAUGUCCCAUGCGGCAAGUUGUCCUAUGUAGUGCCGGAGAGGUUGGGGGUUCAAUUCCUCCUGGGGGUA